rnacentral:lncRNA from 1 species
AGUGAUUGUUGAUAGGAUACUGUUUAUAACUUAGUUUGCAUAGCACCACUUUCUCUGAGUUUUAACAAUGGAAUUUCAGUUGAGAUCUGUAGUUUUACCAUGUGGAGAUUCAGCUUCAGAAUUGGUAGAAAAUCCGGAAUUAAUUGAUAUGACUGAUAUAGUUUUCAUGCUCAUAGCUCAUUUCGCCAAGUUAUUCAACAAAUACAACAAAAAAGUGAUCUACGUAGCCAGAAUAUGGAUUGGUUACAUAGUAGAUGGAAUUGAAAUAGUUGCUAUAAGCAUUGACCAAGGAGGAAUAAAUUUUGAAAGUUGGUUUGUAAAUUUUCUUUUCGGAGCAUAUUUAUUAACUAUAGUGGUGUUCGUAACUUACAUUACAUUUAUUGAAUGUUGUUCAAAGGCUUCAUUAUCAAGGCAUUGGAUGAAAAUAUUUAUCAUUUUCAAGCUUUCGUCGUUUGUGAAUGCUCUUUUUAUCUUCAUUUAUCCCAUUGUGAUUUCAGACAGCCAUUAUCCGUUUUGGGAAAUCAUCGUGAUGAUUAUCGCCGCACUUGACAUGUUGUCGAUCUUUAUAAUAUUGAUGCUAACGAUUUUUGUGAUGUGUAAAUGUGUUCGUCUCAAUAAAGUUGCACCAAAACAAACGAACCGGAAUAUACCAAAACCAACCAACAAAAAGAAAAGUACUACUGUCGUUAAAGGGAAAAAGUAAUAAUUUCAACAAACACUUAUAUGACAGUGGAUUAACAAAAUUUGAUUCAAGAAUGUUUGAUUUAUCUGUAUCUGUCAAGCCGUUUUUAAAACAGUCGUCGUUUUAAUCAUAUUUUUUUUAAUAGUUCAAUCUAAACGAUAAGUACUCAGUCUGAUACACACUAAUGCCUCGUUCACACGUACAUUUAAUACGAAUUGAACUCGAAUCGCGUUCACACACUCCUCUUUUUUAUUUCGAAUUGAUUCGAAUUGGCUAAUUCGAAUUAUCUAAUUCGCAUUGGAAAUACGCUUUUGUCAAUACGAAUUAAAAGUUAACGUCGUUUGGAAAGUAAAGCGAAUUUGACGCGCAUUGUAAUUCGAAUUAGAAUUUACGUUAGGACGUAAAACGUUUCGAAUGCGAAUUAAACUAAUUCGAAUUAGUUAAUGCGAAUCGAAUUCGAAUUACGUGUGAACUCAGCAUUAGGUUAAAUAACGAACACAAAUAAUGGUGAAAGAUUUCACGAAGAUUAGCCAGUUUUAUUCGGAAUUACAAUUUAUAUAGGAUUUGUCAUUGAAAAAACUUAAUUCGUGUGAUUUCAUCUUUUAGUAGUGUUUAUUUUUCUAAAAAUAAAGAUCUUUCGAUGGAUUCUAAAUAUGUUCUUAAAUUUCUCUGUAGGGGGAGAUAUCUCAUUAAAUGUGUGUUUAUUUGAAGCAUGUGAGCAUAUGAUACCAGGAAUACUGUGCAUGCUUUAAUAAAACAUUUGCACCGUUAAUUAACAUACACGUCUCAGGUGACAGUAAAAUCUACGUUUUACGAAGGGCAGGAUUAAAAUAUAAUACAAUUAUCUCCUAAUGUUUAUACUGCUUCUAAUCAUUGCUUGAAAAAGAGUACAUGGACCCUCAAAUAUGACAAUUUGCAUGUUUAUGUAUAAAAAUUAUAUGUACCAAUUUUUACUAAUAACUCACCAAUUAAAUUAAACUACAUUUUUUUCUAUAAUCAUAAACAAAACAAUAAAUAUAAAUUAUGUUCAAAGAACUGUUAUACAUGUUAUAAUUUUAUAAUCAGAAUAUAUUAAUAUGAUUCAUUUUACAUCAUAAUUAUACUGAUGAAGGAUAUAUCUGUUAUCCGAAAUAUUUGAUAUUUGUUCACUUUAUUAUUAUUAUUUGAUGAUAUUGUACCAUUUUAGACUUGAUAAAUAUUAUUUAUUUUGUAAUGAACUGUAUCAUAAUUAUAUGAUCUAUUGCCCCG